CCAGAGAUGGCGGGCCUCCGCGCCCCCGUCCCCAACCCUUUGUUGACCAAAACCCUUUUUGCCUCGGGGGCAGAGCGUCCGCCGCCGCCCCCGGAGGACCAACGAACGCUGUCUCUUUGCGUCAGAGGAAUUGAUCAAAUGAAAUGA
rnacentral:misc_RNA from 1 species